UACAGAGGCAGCCAGCGUUAAUCGGAAUUACUGGGCGUAAAGCGUGCGUAGGUGGUUUGUUAAGUCAGGCGUGAAAUCCUGGGGCUCAACCUCAGAAUUGCGCUUGAUACUGACAGACUCGAGUGUGGUAGAGGAUAGUGGAAUUCCCGGUGUAGCGGUGAAAUGCGUAGAUAUCGGGAGGAACAUCAGUGGCGAAGGCGGCUAUCUGGACCAACACUGACACUGAGGUACGAAAGCGUGGGUAGCAAACAGG
rnacentral:rRNA from 1 species